UACGGGGGGAGCAAGCGUUGUUCGGAUUUACUGGGCGUAAAGGGCGCGUAGGCGGCGCAACAAGUCACUUGUGAAAUCUCCGGGCUUAACCCGGAGCGGCCAAGUGAUACUGUCGGACUAGAGUCCGGAAGAGGCAAGUGGAAUUCCCGGUGUAGCGGUGAAAUGCGCAGAUAUCGGGAGGAACACCAAUGGCGAAGGCAGCUUGCUGGGGACGGUACUGACGCUGAGGCGCGAAAGCGUGGGGAGCAAACAGG
rnacentral:rRNA from 1 species